UUACGAUCCCACCAGAUUGAAACACAUGUUUCCGUCCGAUGACAAAAGUUAGGCAUCAUCGAGCCUGGUCAGUACCAGGAUGGAUGACUGCUUGGGAAUACUAAAGUGCUGUG